rnacentral:lncRNA from 1 species
GUUCGUUUCUGUGUGUGUUACAAUUUAACGUUGCGUCGUUUGUUUUCUCUUAUGUUUGAGUGUAAAUUGACAUUGCGAUAAGACGUGUCACUGUACAUGUCUAUCCCAAAUUCAUGUAUUUGGUUUUGAUGUUAUAUUUGUUAUUCUCGUGGGAUUUUGUCUGAUGCUUGGUCCGUUUCUGUGUGUGUUAGUUACAUUGUAGUGUUGUGUCGUUGUUCUCCUCUUAUAUUUAUGCGUUUCCGUCAGUUUUAGUUUGUUACCCCGAUUUUGUUUUUUGUCCAUGGAUUUAUGAGUUUGAACAGCGGUAUACUACUGUUGCCUUUAUUUAUUUGA